CCUCUCAGUCUGAUCCUUUCUUUCAUCCUGGCAUAAUAAGGCUGUUGUGUCCUCAUCCUUCAGUGGAAAAGCUCGUCGUUCCCACCACAAAGACUGAAAGGGGAAACAUUUUCAGGAGAAGACUUCAUCAGAAAGAUCUUCUAUCUGUUCUGCUGACUGGACCUAGGGCCAUCAGACACUGAGCCAAGCACACCCCCCUCCUCAGCCCUAAAACAGCAGAUGUUUAUAAUACUCAUCUGACAUACAUUGAAUUUACUCUGCAAUUUCUCAGGUAGAUGUUUAUUACCUGAAAAUAAUUUAUCUUUGUGUGACUUUUUUGAAACUAAAAUUACAAGUUUUCAAAAACUCAAAGUAUGUUGUUUUUCCUAUAAUUGCUUUCAAGUGUAAACAAUGUUCUCAUAUCCUUUGAGAACACCCAUAAACAUUUCAUUAUCAUUUUCUUGAAGUUUUAUUGUAUAGAUUUUAAAAUCUUAUUUUACAUUCUUGAAGCCAACUAGAAAAUAUUGUGAUGUACGGUGUGAUAUAAUUGUGAAAACUGUUUGUGCAAAAAACCCAACAAUACUAUUUAUGAAAUGGUUCCCAACUUUCUUGAUUAUACAAUAAAGUAUAAGCUUUAUGGUCUGUUUCAUGAUGUUUUUCUUGAAUAUAAACAAAAUAAAAAUCUACACUAUUAGAGAUUUUUGGCCUGUCUCCCUCUGUGGUUGAGCUACAUUUUUCUCAACAGUUUUUCUAGAAAUUCCUUUUAUGUUUUGCCCCUUUCUUUCUCCUGAGGGGGUA